rnacentral:ncRNA from 1 species
AAAAGCGUAACGAUCUGGGCACUGUCUUGGAGAGAGGCCCUAUGUUCCCUGGGAUUGGCUUUGGGCCUUUCCUGCACAGCUUAGGUGGAAGGCGAAGAAGACCUCCUUUUGGGAGGGCCCAAGCCAUCAGUGAGAUACCACUCUGGAAGGGCUAGAAUUCUAACCUUGUGUCAGGACCUACGAUCCAAGGGACAGGCUCAGGUAGAUAGUUUCUAUAGGGCGUAGGCCUCCUAAAAGGUAACGGAGGCGUGCAAAGAUUUCCUCGGGCUGGACGGAGAUUGGCCCUCGAGUGCAAAGGCAAAAGGGAGCUUGACUGCAAGACCAACCCAUCGAGCAGGGAUGAAAGUUGGCCUUAUUGAUUCAACGGUGCCGAGUAAAAAGGUCGUUGCUCAACGGAGAAAAGUUACUCUAGGGAUAAUAGGUUAUCUUCCCCAAGAGCUCACAUCGACGGGAAGGUUUGGCACCUUGAUGUCGGCUCUUUCCCACCUAGGGCUGUCGUAUAUUCCAAGGGUUGGGUUGUUCGCCCAUUAAAAUGAUACGUGAGCUGGAUUUAGAAUGUCAUGAGAUAGUUCGACCCAUAUUUGAUGUGGGCGUUAGAGCAUAGAGAGGACCUUUCCCUAGUACGAGAGGACCGGGAAGGACACACCUCUGGUGUACCUGUUAUCGUGCCCACGGUAAAUACUGGGUCGCCAAGUGCGGAGUGGAUAACUGCUGAAAGCAUCUAAGUAGUAAGCCCACCCCAAGAUGAGUGCUCUCCUAUUCCGACUUUCCCAGAGUUUCUGGUAGCAUAGCCGAGACAGUGAUGGUUUCUCUACCCCUGCAGAGAUGGAGCGACAAAAGUUUUUUUGAGAAUUCAAGAGAAGGUCACAGUGAGACGAGCCACUUAUCAUUACGAUAGGUGUCAAGUGGAAGUGCAGUGAUGUAUGCAGCUGAGGCAUCCUAACAGACCGG